rnacentral:rRNA from 1 species
AGGGAAUCUUGCGCAAUGGGCGAAAGCCUGACGCAGCCAUGCCGCGUGAAUGAUGAAGGUCUUAGGAUUGUAAAAUUCUUUCACCGGGGACGAUAACGACGGUACCCGGAGAAGAAGCCCCGGCUAACUUCGUGCCAGCAGCCGCGGUAAUACGAAGGGGGCUAGCGUUGCUCGGAAUUACUGGGCGUAAAGGGCGCGUAGGCGGAUAGUUUAGUCAGAGGUGAAAGCCCAGGGCUCAACCUUGGAAUUGCCUUUGAUACUGGCUAUCUUGAGUAUGGAAGAGGUAUGUGGAACUCCGAGUGUAGAGGUGAAAUUCGUAGAUAUUCGGAAGAACACCAGUGGCGAAGGCGACAUAGUGGUCCAUUACUGACGCUGAGGCGCGAAAGCGUGGGGAGCAAAC